rnacentral:rRNA from 1 species
UACGUAGGGGCAAGCGUUAUCCGGAUUUACUGGGUGUAAAGGGAGCGCAGACGGAACUGCAAGUCUGAUGUGAAAGCCCGGGGCUCAACCGCGGGACUGCAUCGGAUGCUGUAGAUCUGGAGUGCCGGAGGGGCAAGCGGAAUUCCUGGUGUAGCGGUGAAAUGCGUAGAUAUCAGGAGGAACACCGGCGGCGAAGGCGGCUUGCUGGACGGCAACUGACGUUGAGGCUCGAAAGCGUGGGGAGCAAACAGGAUUAGAUA